AAAACGACUCUCGGCAACGGAUAUCUCGGCUCUCGCAUCGAUGAAGAACGUAGCGAAAUGCGAUACUUGGUGUGAAUUGCAGAAUCCCGUGAACCAUCGAGUUUUUGAACGCAAGUUGCGCCCAAAGCCAUUAGGCUAAGGGCACGUCUGCCUGGGCGUCGCGCAUCACGUCGCCC
rnacentral:rRNA from 1 species